rnacentral:rRNA from 1 species
AGCGAACGUUUGCGGCGGGCCUAACACAUGCAAGUCGAACGGGCUAGCAAUAGUCAGUGGCGCACGGGUGCGUAGCACGUGGGUAAUCAACCCUUCAGCUCGGGAUAACGCCUUGAAAGGGGCGCUAAUACCGGAUACGACGCGAGGAGCUUCGGCUGCUUGCGGGAAAGAUUCGCAAGGAUCUCUGAAGGACGAGCCUGCGGCCCAUCAGCUAGUUGGUGAGGUAAGAGCUCACCAAGGCGAAGACGGGUAGCUGGUCUGAGAGGAUGAUCAGCCACACUGGAACUGAGACACGGUCCAGACUCCUACGGGAGGCAGCAGUGGGGAAUAUUGCGCAAUGGGCGAAAGCCUGACGCAGCCACGCCGCGUGAGCGAUGAAGGCCU